rnacentral:rRNA from 1 species
GACGAACGCUGGCGGCGUGCCUAACACAUGCAAGUCGAACGGAGAUAGUUAAUGAAGCUUGCGAUUUAGCUAUCUUAGUGGCGAACGGGUGAGUAACGCGUGGGUAACCUGCCCUUAAGACCGGGACAACAGCUGGAAACGGCUGCUAAUACCGGAUGUAUUGUCCGAGAGGCAUCUCUUGGAGAAGAAAGCUGGCCUCUGAAAAUGCUAGCGCUUAGGGAUGGACCCGCGUCUGGUUAGCUAGUUGGUGGGGUAAAAGCCUACCAAGGCGACGAUCAGUAGCCGGCCUGAGAGGGUAAACGGCCACACUGGGACUGAGACACGGCCCAGACUCCUACGGGAGGCAGCAGUGGGGAAUCUUCCGCAAUGGACGAAAGUCUGACGGAGCAACGCCGCGUGUAUGAAGAAGGCCUUCGGGUUGUAAAAUACUGUUGUUAGGGAAGAACGGCAUCUGUGUAAAUAAUGCAGGUGAUUGACGGUACCUAACGAGGAAGCCCCGGCUAACUACGUGCCAGCAGCCGCGGUAAUACGUAGGGGGCAAGCGUUGUCCGGAAUCAUUGGGCGUAAAGGGCGCGUAGGCGGCUAUAUAAGUCUGAUGUGAAAGUGCGGAGCUUAACU